GAGCUACGAUCUGCACAAAUAUCUCUACAAAGUGUAUAUAUAUAUAUAUAUAUAUGCUUUAGCUU
rnacentral:sRNA from 1 species